rnacentral:siRNA from 1 species
UGAAAUCGUCGACCAGGUCCG